GUGGGGAAUAUUGGACAAUGGGCGAAAGCCUGAUCCAGCAAUGCCGCGUGAGUGAUGAAGGCCCUAGGGUUGUAAAGCUCUUUUACCCGGGAUGAUAAUGACAGUACCGGGAGAAUAAGCUCCGGCUAACUUCGUGCCAGCAGCCGCGGUAAUACGAGGGGAGCUAGCGUUGUUCGGAAUUACUGGGCGUAAAGCGCGCGUAGGCGGUUUUUUAAGUCAGAGGUGAAAGCCCGGGGCUCAACCCCGGAAUAGCCUUUGAAACUGGAAAACUAGAAUCUUGGAGAGGUCAGUGGAAUUCCGAGUGUAGAGGUGAAAUUCGUAGAUAUUCGGAAGAACACCAGUGGCGAAGGCGACUGACUGGACAAGUAUUGACGCUGAGGUGCGAAAGCGUGGGGAGCAAACAGGAUUAGAUACCCCUGUAGUCC
rnacentral:rRNA from 1 species